AAGGGAGUAGAUAAAAUGAAGAGGUGGAGUUUGUCAUUUACUAAUUUUCUCUGAGAAUGGGAAAAUAAAUGGACAUGUAACUAUCACCAGCGGCAAUAUACAGUACAUAUCACUUUCUGGUGCUGUUCCUCGUAACAAAUCGAGUUACAGCUGGUGCUUCAGGAACACCAAAAACUACAGCAAAACAGAAAAAAAAUAAUUAUAAAACUUUCGUAUUUAUAUCUGCAGUUACAGAAUCCAACAAGAUUACAUAUACAAAAAAAGGCACAUGCCCCAAAUCAGGCAUGGUGGUAAAAAGCAACAGACAGGUAGGUUUCAUAAGUCAAAGAUGUUAUUCUGGCAUGUAGCAAGCAGCAGCAGGCUUUUAUGCAGAAGCAUCACGUAGAGUUGUUAACAGAUUUUAGUGGAUACGAUCCCAUACAAAUCAUUUACAAGCCACAAUUAGUUUACUAUUUACAUAAGUCAUUUCUCAUUUAUCAGGUUAAAUCUGUCUCUUCUAAUGGCAUUACCUUUGCUGGUUAGUAGUUUUAUAAGCCCCUUCCAUCCUGAGGCUUUGGAAGAUUUGGGUCUUUUU